CACGGCGUGGUGAUACACAUUGAAUGUACCAGUUCCCUAUGGAUCACUGAAGUUAAGCAACAUUGCAAGUGAUUGGUAUUCGGAUGUGCGACCAUCUGGACAAAAGUGCGUUGCUGGGU
rnacentral:rRNA from 1 species